UACGUAGGGGGCUAGCGUUAUCCGGAAUUACUGGGCGUAAAGGGUGCGUAGGCGGUCUUUCAAGCCAGAAGUGAAAGGCUACGGCUCAACCGUAGUAAGCUUUUGGAACUGUAAGACUUGAGUACAGGAGAGGAGAGUGGAAUUCCUAGUGUAGCGGUGAAAUGCGUAGAUAUUAGGAGGAACACCAGUUGCGAAGGCGGCUCUCUGGACUGUAACUGACACUGAGGCACGAAAGCGUGGGGAGCAAACAGGAUUAGAUACCCUGGUAGUCCCUGA
rnacentral:rRNA from 1 species